AGAACGAACGCUGGCGGCAGGCCUAACACAUGCAAGUCGAGCGCCCCGCAAGGGGAGCGGCAGACGGGAGAGUAACACGUGGGAACGUGCCCUUUGGUUCGGAACAACACAGGGAAACUUGUGCUAAUACCGGAUAAGCCCUUACGGGGAAAGAUUUAUUGCCAAGGGAUCGGCCCGCGUCUGAUUAGCUUGUUGGUGAGGUAACGGCUCACCAAGGCUACGAUCAGUAGCUGGUCUGAGAGGAUGAUCAGCCUCACUGGGACUGAGACACGGCCCAGACUCCUACGGGAGGCAGCAGUGGGGAAUAUUGGACAAUGGGCGCAAGCCUGAUCCAGCCAUGCCGCGUGGAUGAUGAAGGCCUUAGGGUUGUAAAGUCCUUUCGGCGGGGAAGAUAAUGACGGUACCCGCAGGAAGAAGCCCCGGCUAACUUCGUGCCAGCAGCCGC
rnacentral:rRNA from 1 species